CAGCCGCCGCGGGAAUACAGAGGGUGCGAGCGUUAAUCGGAAUUACUGGGCGUAAAGCGAGUGUAGGUGGCUCAUUAAGUCACAUGUGAAAUCCCCGGGCUUAACCUGGGAACUGCAUGUGAUACUGGUGGUGCUAGAAUAUGUGAGAGGGAAGUAGAAUUCCAGGUGUAGCAGUGAAAUGCGUAGAGAUCUGGAGGAAUACCGAUGGCGAAGGCAGCUUCCUGGCAUAAUAUUGACACUGAGAUUCGAAAGCGUGGGUAGCAAACAGGAUUAGAUACCCCGGUAGUCCCUGUCUCUUAUU
rnacentral:rRNA from 1 species